rnacentral:rRNA from 1 species
ACGAACGCUGGCGGCGUGCCUAACACAUGGCAAGUCGAGCGGGACAUGCGACGGAGGAGAAGUUUCGGAUGGAUCCAAAGAUGUAUGUUCUAGCGGCGGACGGGUGAGUAACGCGUGAGCAACCUGUCCCUUACAGGGGGAUAACACAGCGAAAGUUGUACUAAUACCGCAUAAGACCACGGUGAGACAUCUUACAGGGGUCAAAGGAGCAAUCCGGUAAGGGGUGGGCUCGCGUCCGAUUAGAUAGUUGGUGAGGUAACGGCCCACCAAGUCGACGAUCGGUAGCCGACCUGAGAGGGUGAUCGGCCACAUUGGGACUGAGACACGGCCCAGACUCCUACGGGAGGCAGCAGUGGGGAAUAUUGGGCAAAGUGGGGGAAACCCUGACCCAGCAACGCCGCGUGAAGGAAGAAGGCUUUCGGGUUGUAAACUUCUUUACCAGGGACGAAGGACGUGACGGUACCUGGAGAAAAAGCCACGGCUAACUACGUGCCAGCAGCCGC